rnacentral:lncRNA from 1 species
UUCAUGGCUUUUGAAUUUUGUUGAGCCAUUUUCUCAUUAUGAUUAGUGUUUGUGUGUGUUCCAUUGACUAUAAUGCUCCAUAAAUUAUAAUCAAGCGAUUGUAUGAAAACGCGCAUGCGUGCUUUCCAAUGUGUAUAGUUUAUGCCAUUAAAUAGUGGAGGUCUAUCAAUUAAUUGUCCAUCUCCUAGAAAACUAUCUAUUUGAGUUGUCAUGAUCUUUGGCUCUUUGACGGUUAGGUCAAAAACACAAGGCAAGAAAUUAUAGAGCACCGGCUCUGAUACCACUUGUUGCCCAGUAGAUACAAUCCAAGAGGAGGGGUGAAUUGGGUCUUUUAAAACUUUUAGGCUACUUCUAACACUUUUCAAUUAAUUAUGCUAAGUUGUAUAGAUGCACAGUGGAAUUUAAACUUAGUAACAGUUUGAUUUAUUGAAUGAGACUUGAUUAAGUAAAUUGAAUAUGCUUGCAACUAAAGGAUGCGCGGAUAAG